AGCGUAGACGGCAAGGCAAGUCUGAUGUGAAAACCCAGGGCUUAAUCCUGGGACUGCAUUGGAAACUGUCUGGCUCGAGUGCCGGAGAGGUAAGCGGAAUUCCUAGUGUAGCGGUGAAAUGCGUAGAUAUUAGGAAGAACACCAGUGGCGAAGGCGGCUUACUGGACGGUAACUGACGUUGAGGCUCGAAAGCGUGGGGAGCAAACA
rnacentral:rRNA from 1 species